CCUACGGGGGGCAGCAGUGAGGAAUAUUGGUCAAUGGGCGCGAGCCUGAACCAGCCAAGUCGCGUGAGGGAGGACGGCCCUACGGGUUGUAAACCUCUUUUGCCGGGGAGCAACGGGCGCCACGUGUGGCGUCACGGAGAGUACCCGGAGAAAAAGCAUCGGCUAACGCCGUGCCAGCAGCCUCGGUAAUACGGGGGAUGCGAGGGUUAUCCGGUUUUAUGGGGUUUAAGGGGUGCGUGGGCGGCUCGUUAAGUAAGGGGUAAAAUUGAGGGGAUCAACCCCUUCCCGCCAUUGAAACUGGCGUUCUUGAGUGGAAGAGAAGUAUGCGGAAUGCGUGGUGUAGCGGUGAAAUGCAUAGAUAUCACGCAGAACCCCGAUUGCGAAGGCAGCAUGCCGGCUUCCGACUGACGCUGAAGCACGAAAGCGUGGGGAUCGAACAGGAUUAGAUACCCGGGUAGUC
rnacentral:rRNA from 1 species